rnacentral:rRNA from 1 species
GCAAGUCUGGUGCCAGCAGCCGCGGUAAUUCCAGCUCCAAUAGCGUAUAUUAAAGUUGUUGCAGUUAAAAAGCUCGUAGUUGAAUUUUAGGCCCGGUUGGACGGUCUGCCUUUGGGUUUGUACUGUCCUGACUGGGCCUUACCUUCUGGUGAGCUGUCGUGUUGUUUACUCAGCGCGGCAGGGAACCAGGACUUUUACUUUGAAAAAAUUAGAGUGUUUAAAGCAGGCAUUCGCUUGAAUACAUUAGCAUGGAAUAAUAGAAUAGGACGUGUGGUUCUAUUUUGUUGGUUUCUAGGACCGCCGUAAUGAUUAAUAGGGAUAGUCGGGGGCAUCAGUAUUCAAUUGUCAGAGGUGAAAUUCUUGGAUUUAUUGAAGACUAACUACUGCGAAAGCAUUUGCCAA